GAAUCCCUAGUAAUCGUAGAUCAUCACGCUACGGUGAAUCUGUAUCCAAGUCUAGUACACACCGCCCGUCACGCUAUGGAAAUCCGUA
rnacentral:rRNA from 1 species